ACUGCCUCGGCAGUUCUUUGACCCGGUGAUUCUCAAAAAAAACACUAAGGAAAGGGGAAGGAACUAACGUUGAUGCAUGAGUGCUUACCUCCGGUUGGUAGAUGAAGUAAAAAUUGCCGAAUUGCUGGUGGCGUGCGGCCUGCUGAUAAAUCAAGAGAUGCAGGUGCAUCGGGUUAUCCAAAACAACAACAGUCAAUGAAUUGGAUGGAUCUAGAUGCUGAAUAAAUAGAAUAUAAGAAUGUUAGAGAAACUGGAAUAUAUAAAAGAGGCAUUACUGAUACAUAUAUAACACAACCUGCUUGCAAUUUUGCCAACCCCUUGGUAGGAAUGAUGCCAUUGCACAUCAAUAAUAUUGCUGAAAAGGUGUGAGAAAUUCAGAGACAUAUAUUAGCAAUCAAACACUUGUGCAAGACAAAUGAAAAAGUGAAUCAAAAUCACACUGCAUAAUCUAAAAUGAUAUAUGUUGCCUUAUGUCCAAGUGAAAGAGCAUCUUCAUUGUUGAAAAGGCAUGAGAAAUUGAGAGACAUAUAUUAGCAAUCAAACACUUGUGUGAGAGAAAUGGGAAAAUUAAAUCAAAAUCUCAUGUAUUGUCUAAAAUGAUAUAUGCUACCUUAUGUCCAAGUGAAACAGAAUCUCCAUGAAGUCCAUGUGGAAGCACAUCGAGCUGAUAGCCUAGCCUUGGGAGUGUCAAACGCGUGUGGAGCGGAUGAACAGAUGUUGGACUGCAGAGUAUGGAUUGGGAAGCGAUUGGAAAGGCAGAACCGGAAUGACCAAUCACAUAGAAGCAUGUCAAGGAUGUUAUUCAAAUGUAAGCGUGGAGAUGCUCACCUGAUAAGCUGAUGUGUUAGCCCCAAAGGUGGAGUCCCUUUGGAAGUCCUGUUCAG
rnacentral:lncRNA from 1 species